rnacentral:rRNA from 1 species
AGUGAACGCUGGCGGUAGGCCUAACACAUGCGAGUCGAACGGCAGCACAGUAAGAGCUUGCUCUUACGGGUGGCGAGUGGCGGACGGGUGAGGAAUACAUCGGAAUCUACUUUUUCGUGGGGGAUAACGUAGGGAAACUUACGCUAAUACCGCAUACGACCUACGGGUGAAAGCAGGGGAUCUUCGGACCUUGCGCGAUUGAAUGAGCCGAUGUCGGAUUAGCUAGUUGGCGGGGUAAAGGCCCACCAAGGCGACGAUCCGUAGCUGGUCUGAGAGGAUGAUCAGCCACACUGGAACUGAGACACGGUCCAGACUCCUACGGGAGGCAGCAGUGGGGAAUAUUGGACAAUGGGCGCAAGCCUGAUUCAGCCAUACCGCGUGGGUGAAGAAGGCCUUCGGGUUGUAAAGCCCUUUUGUUGGGAAAGAAAAGCAGCAGGUUAAUACCCCGCUGUUCUGACGGUACCCAAAGAAUAAGCACCGGCUAACUUCGUG